AAAUUACCGUUUCGUGACUGUGAGAGUGGAAAAAAAUACAAUGAAUGGUCAGAAGCAAGGCGGCCCGGUAGUCCAGUGGUUAGCACGUCGGCUUCACAGUGCAGAGGUACCGGGUUCGAUUCCAGCUCCGGCCUCCCUGUGUGGAGUUUGCAUGUUCUCCCCGGGCCUGCGUGGGUUUUCUCCGGGUGCUCCGGUUUCCUCCCACAUUCCAAAAACAUGCGUGGCAGGCUGAUUGAACACUCUAAAUUGUCCCUAGGUGUGAGUGUGAGUGCGAAUGGUUGUUUGUUUCUGUGUGCCCUGCGAUUGGCUGGCAACCGAUUCAGGGUGUCCCCCGCCUACUGCCCGGAGACGGCUGGGAUGGUCUCCAGCACCCCCCAUGACCCUAGUGAGGAUCAAGCGGUACGGAAGAUGAAUGAAUGAAUGAAUGAACCUUCCAUCCAAUCGGUGUGAGGAGCUACUGUGUUAGCAGCUGCGUCCAGCAUCAGUCGGUGGCCUUUUGUAACUCACCUGUCACUUUCAUUACUACAUACUGAUUUUAUUUUUUUCAGAAAACAAGUUGAUUUGUAAACUAAACUACUGACAUUGAACCUGUAUGCUGUUGAAAAAACAGUAAAGACAGAGAGCAUUUUACAAGGACUGCUCGGAUGCAUGGUCGUCUCAUACCAUUUGCACUCACGCACGCCAUAACUUGUGCCGGCCUGAUUUAAAAACGAAAAGCUCCUCUUGACACGUUGACAUGUUUCUACGUUUCAAAUGGAAGCAAUACGCGCCGAUGUAUGGUUAAGAACAUAAUGGGGUCAAAAUAUCGGGACACUAUUUUGACUGUAAUAUUUUAUGCACUGGAGAAGAAAUGGAAGUUUUGCACAUUUGUCGGUUUGACAGCAGGGAUAUGAAGUCUACUGCUCAUGCCUUCAAAACUAAGAUUUUUGCACUUGUUUUUACGCCGUUUAAAUUGACAGACAGCUGUGCAACUCGUAAUUUGUCCACCGAGGCCUCGAGGCACAUCUGGGAGGGAAUCACUUGAGAUGUUGAAAAUAAAUCAAGUGCGGCCAUGACGUUUUGCCAGUAACACAGAUUCAACCGCAGCUGCCAUUUCACGCUGUUUUCUUUUGUCGGUUGUGGAGGGGGGAAGAAAAAAUUGACAAAGCAUUCUGAGAAUGUUGUUGUGCCUUGUAUUUUCGCUUCAUCAACUAUAAUUGACACAAUGUAUUCGUCAACGCACACUUUCACUUGUCUAUCACGCUUCUUCACGGAAGCGUUUUUAAAAUGUGUGUUCCAUUCAACGGAGUCAAAAUCACGCUACGUAGCCUUAUCUUUUUUUUGUCCAAAUAUGAUCUUGGAGUGUAGUUAUGUUACAUAACCAUACGUCUAGUGGUUAAAUGACCUGUUGCAAGGUUUUUACAGUUUCAACUGCGGUUACAUUAAAAAGAAGACGGGGGGGAGGGGGGGACGUCAGGUUACAGGCAGAAAUGUACUGGGGAAGAACACAGUUAAGGCUUUUGCAACCGUGAAACAAAAAUCUGUAAUUUGACAGAAGAGAGUGCAGUUGACCUUAUUUUUAAAUCCCCUUUGGGAGUUUAGAAGUUUAGAAUAUUUAUUUUUAGCAGGUUGUUCCACGUCAUUUGUAUUUCGAUGUUCCUGUCACGCCUCAAAUGGCGCAUUAAAAAGAUGGUUGUGGCUCCGCA